rnacentral:lncRNA from 1 species
GUUCUUUUUGUUGGUAUGCAAUUAUCAUCACAUGGCAGUAGUGUUAACAUUUGUUGAUGAACUAUGUUCGCUUCAUUUUUUUUUUUAAGGUUCAUGAAUCGUUAAUUUGUUUGAUUCAAUCAACCCUGAUUCCCAAUGAGUUUGAUUCAAUCAUGGCUUAAAAAUCAAACCAUCCGGACGGUGAAUCAAACCUUUCGACUCAAUCACGGUGAAUCAAACACCAGUCUGGACAUAAGACUUUAACUUUUUUCCCUUUCCAGGGCCUUACCUGUUCCUAUGACGUCAUUUGGAAGCAAUAAUGUGGUAUCUUGAAAGUGCGGGAUAUGUCACGCGCAAUUUAGUAUCUAUAAAACCAUGGCAAAAAUUGUCUUACCAAAGUUUAAGUAAAUCGGUGAUGUCACACAUUAAGAGGGGGCAUCUAAGUGCAUUAGCCCCUCUGAAUCCAAAGUGCUGCAACUUUGAAUCUAAAUAUUUUCGAUCUAAGGCAUUUCUCGAUGUUGCGAGUGCCGAAACCGGUGAUUUCCAGCCAAGGACCCCAAUUUGGGUAUCUCAACUCAAAACUAAUGUUAACGUGCCUCCCACCUUAACAUUAGAUUUGAGUUGAGAUAGCCAAAAUGGGGUCCCUGGCUCACAAUUACCAGUUUCGGCACUCACAACAUCGAUAAAUGCCUUAAAUCGGAAAUAUUGAAUUUCAAAAUUGCAGCAAUUUGAUUCAGAAGGGCUAAUGCAUAGGAAUACCCCUCUGAAUGUGUGACGUCAGCGCAGAUAUCUAACGAAUUUUAAAUGUUUGACUAAAACGUUUUGUAGCACGUGGUGGUAUAUGUUGCUUUGAGCUGCCAAACUAUUGCUUCCAAAUAAAGUCGCUAGGAACAGCGGAGAUCCCAAAAAGUAAACAAAAGUAAAAGUCCAAUAUCUUGAAAACCGGUGAAUAUUUUUCGGUGAAAUUUGGUAGAUAUUCGUUUUCGCUCUUUCUGAACCGAGCGACAUCACUUUUAUGCCAAUUCAUAAACUUUUUUGAAGGUGGGAGGGUCCCUUUAAUCGUAUUUGUGUAAAUUAACGUAUUCUGUCAAAUACCGGCGUCCUAUUUUUGUGCCGUCCAUUCUUAAAAUCAUCAGUUCACUUGCAGACGAUGAUUAGAAGCUUUGCUUCCAAUGGAAUGCACGAAGCAAUGACUGCAUAAUGCAUUCUUUGUUUUAAAAACAAAACUGUGCAAUAAAAAUUGCACAAAACUUGUUCGAUAUCUAAUCUACCUUUGGUGGCUUCAGCUUACCUGACAGUUCAUUUAUGUAUCCACAUUGCUAGGAAGCAUAUCAUCCGUCUAAUCCAAACAUAAACUAUUCUCGUUGUUGAAACUGGUGACGCACAAGCUGACGUAACGUUAGUGGAGACUUCAUCUCAAAAAACAGCCUGCAUGGGCUAAAAUCCCGGGGGGCGCGUAUGGCUCGUAUCAUUUGCGAGGCACGCGACGGGAGCCUUGAGGAGCUUUCCAUGCUAAAGCGCCUCUAAACCCAGGUCUCACUUGGAGAUCGAUCUCACUCGGAGAUCAUGAGUCUGUUGUAGAGUGGCGUCAUUUUACGUCCAGUCCACCGAACCAGUGUGCACAAUUGCUGGCGGUGGAUACCAGACUCCCCCCACGGGUCGUCAUGUGCGAGGCAAGGUCGGGGAUAAGAUAUCACGGCAGCAAUUGAAGAUAAAAUUGAGAUUCUUUAUGUAAAUGCUAUUAGGCUGCUACAUUUGCACAAUGAGUGAGUGCAAAGCUUCUCUUUAAUUGAUAUUUUUCAUUAUUCAAGCAUACUAUUACCUAAUACGUCUGAGUCUACAUUCACUUUAUCCACGAAAAUGCUUCAAAAUCGCAUUUUUCGUCGGUAAAUAGCAUUGUAACCUUGCGUCAGUUGACACACGCUUUCACUGCCGCAUCCGGACUCUCUGUGCAUAUUUGUCUAUGCAUCAUGAGCUUAAGUAUUGUUUCCUUUUUCGUUAGAUCAAGCUUCAACUUCUAGCGCUUAAUCGCUCAUGCCAAGCAAAGUUUGCGGACUUGUUAAAGGUUAAAAGAAAAUAUAUUUCCUUCAACAGAUGUCUAUAAAAUGAGGCUGCAAAUGAGCGGUUUUCUUCUGGCAAUUAUGGUACUAUAGCACGUUGCUGAUGGAAGGCGGUCAAGAAAAAGAUUAUUUGCAGUUGUGCCUCAUCGUCACUUAUUUGCCAAAUGAAAUUUCAAUUGCUGCUGUUAUCCCCGGCUAUAGUGUCUACGGUGGCGAGCUUUCUCCGCGGACCUUCAACUUCAAGACCUUCUACUUCAAGACCUUCAACUUCUAGACAACUAAAGGGAUAUUCUCGUCAUACUGUACUCUCGAUGACGUGCAUGUCGGGUCAUCGACAUGCAUGUUCAAUACCAUUAGUGCACAUGCUGCACCAGACUAUAUUUACGGACGUUGACUGUUUGCUUUAGGCACUGUUUCAAGCAUUGUACGAUGGCCGAUAACAAAAGUAUUUGUUAACGUUUUCAAGUUCCAUUCGGAGUAUCCGAAACUACGACGCAAUGUUAGUCGGAACUAACGUAUCUAGUUAAUCAGGUUAUCGCAUGAUGUUCUUGCUCAUUGGCAAACAUUAUUUCAGCAGUCGAUACGUCCUCCAAACUUCAGUAACUGUUUCUAUAGUCCCCGUUCGUCACAAACAACCGUUGACAUUUCGUCAACCUUAAAUUCGAAUAUAUUAACCGUUUAGACGCACGAGAAUAUCCCUUUAUCCAAACUAGCUAGUGUGUCUACUGUUUUCUUACUAGGCAAACAAAAGUUUGUCACAGCAUGUGCGCAGUUCACUUUACCUAUGUGCAUUUAUACUAAAAGCCAUUCGUCCACAAGCAAUGCAUUUGCGCUAUUGACGCAAGCUUUCAUGAAGGCCAAACCAAUGCUGAUUCGUCAAUGCUGAUCGUCAGCUUGAAAGUAAAGAUGAGCAAAGUGGUUCAACUGAAUCUUAUGGUUGCAGUAGGGCAUAUUAGACGUAAGUGACAAGUAUGUGUCAGCAAUUGCUUAUGCUUCUUAACCCUAGAAAAUUUUUAUUCAAUCCUUUUGGUGAUGACGUAAUGUGACAGAAAACAGUAGACACACUUAACCUCAUCGGGAACCCUGAAUGUAUGGAAUUUUUGAGCAUAGGUGCCUGUGAGUGUGUAAGGGUGGAUGUGGGUGUGUGAGUAUGUAUGUGCGUAUGUGAGGGUGUGCGUAUGUGUCAUCUUACACGUAAUUUAGUGAAUGAGUGCAUAGGUACUAGCUUCCAAGUAAAUACGUGGAUGAGUGCGUGUAGUCAGUGGUGUAUGGAACUCGCAUUGUGCCUGCCUGCUGCCAACGAAAUAUGCAAGCCCACACAGAGAAAACAGUUUUGUUGUGCGAAACUUCAUGCUGCUGGCAGGAUUUACAUGCAAGUCACAUAUUGCAGGUCUACCAUAAGCAGAGCGAUGUGUCAUCUGAUAGGUAACUCACAACAACACAUACUCUGCAUGUCCAGGGAAAGUGAGUUGUGCUCGGAACAGAUUGGCCAGACAGUUUUGUCCUAUCAAAUUCAGAAUUGUUUCAUCCUCCUCACAGUUGCCAUUAACAUCAGGAGCACACAUUAUUGCUAGAUCUGAAUGCCAGCUACCUAUUGCACUGCUGGCACGUAGUUGGAGACAAAGGUGCCGCCAGUUUUCCAGCUCGCUGUUGAUACAAUGCAAUACUGGUACAAAAUGUCCGUAUUCUGUGUUUUUAGUGUUGUAUGUUUGUAUAUGAGUCUUGCGUCGUAUGAACAUUACGUACAUGAGUUUAAAGUGUUCCCGCGAAAGUAGGUACUGAAUUAGCUCACGCCAGGAUUGCGUUGCGGAGAUAUUUGUAGCCCAUACAAUGUUUUAUGGCGUCAUUUACGACACUUUCUGUUUUUCUUGUCAUUGUAUGCACGUGAGUAGUGCCGCAUGUUGCGCUUGCAAAUCAUGUUCUCAAUGCCAUUUUCUUUUGGUACAAUUGGUCACCACUACAUAUCACUCGCAUACACACGCCCAAGCAAGUCCGAUAUCAAUCACUGUCCAGAAGUGCAUGAUGCAUUCAACCACGCAUAGAACACUGGCACACCAAGAACAUGAACUCACGCAAAAACGAGAGGACUAUUACACGACUUCGCAUUGGACACACCGCUAUCACACACAACUACAUCAUCACAAGAAGCCCGAGACCGAAAUGCAACACCUGCAACACUUUCAUCACUGUCAAACAUCUGCUACUCACAUGCCCACAAUACCAACACCACAGGACAAACAUACAAACAUACUGCAGAGACGCCAACAUCCCACUAACACUCACAACACUGCUCGGGGACUUACACCCCGAGCUAACAACACUACUCAUCCACUACAUACACAACACUGGGCUGAUAAAUGACCUGUAAAUCUCCUCCCCUAGAGCCAAGGACAAAAAAGCCAAAAAAAGCCAAAAAAGAAGCCAAAAAGAAAAAAAACAUUCAAAACAAUGAGAAUCAAAAUAAAAGACCCCAGAAUGGCAAAAUGGCAAAAAAAAAACAAAAAAAAACAAACAAAAAAUAAUAAUAGAAGGGGCAAUCCGGCUACCCGGGAGGAGAUAGCUAGGAACCCUGACCCACCCCUCAGCCCACCCUUACGAGCCAAGAAGACGACGGACACUUCAAGACAAUGGACGGACCAACAACGAAGACGGACGACAGAACCGGGCCCAAAUACAGAACGCUGUGGUGGCCCGUAAGCCACAAAUACCAUACCAUACCAUACCAGUGCAUCAUGCAGCAGAAGAAGCUUCAUUGAACACACUCGUCAUCAUGAACGGCAUCUUAGGAGCUUCAUGAGUUUGGAUCUGUGAACAGUAAGUGGAAUGGGAGCAUAAUGGUACACGCUACCAAACCAGAUUUUUUAUAAACAAAAACAUUACGUUUAUUACCGUUUGGAGGUGAUUUGUUUUAUUUGGUCAUUGUGUCAAUGUCAUGUUUGAUCAUAUAGGUAACGAAAAGCGUACCUAUUCAAAACGUUUAUUCUUUGUCAUGAUGUGCCUGCAGGUUGUUUUCGCAGUAUCCAAUAGCAACCGUGUAUGACCAGGCGCCCCUUGGACGCCUUGUCUAGCCCCGUCUUCCGGGACUGUGUGAUGACUGCCUUUGCAAUCUCAAGUGCCAGUUUCUGCCUCCGGCCUAUUUCUUUAUCAAAGGAUGUUGGUAACUGAACGACCAGCUCUGCUCCAAGAUUCCAAAUCGUUUUACGGUAUUUUAUGCCUACAAAACGUUAAUAUUUGCUGGACGCGUUGAUGCCCGAAUAGGAUGACCUUUAUUCCUAGAUACAGGCAUUCAACGUUGAAUCAAUUACGCUUCUAGCCUUCUGUUUAUUGGCUUUACAUACUUUUUAUUAAUAUUUAUCAUGUGUCUAGCCUGCAAUUCAUUUUACUCACCACCAUCGGACGUUACAACUAUAAGCUUAUAACUACUAUAUACAACUAUAAGCUAUAAGCAGCUAUUCGCUGACUUGACAUAUGAUAUUUUCGCGACGACUCGUUUCGCCCUUCCGCCAUGUUAACUAAUCAUCCGUUACAUCUUUAUGUCAACAGGUAUAGUACAAGUCAUCCUUACCGUCGAUACCGUAGAAGAAUUUGCCGUCGACCACGGAAAACAUAUUGUGCUUCCCGUUGCUGGUAAUUUUGUAUUUGUCACUUAGGUGACAGUUACUAUAGUUCGUUUUCUUUUUAAAGUUCGGCCCUGACUGUAAACAUCUUUUUGAACACAGCACGAGAAUUACUGAGAAAAUUGGUUAGCGCCCAUUGAUACCGUUGUGUUAAACGCGGUGCGAUUUAUUAAUUAGUUCAGUUAUUACUCCUGACAAAUCGUCUAUCCCUGUGGGGUUGUAAAUAUGAGCAAAUACGAGCUGAGGGGUCUGGGAAAUAGGAGCCAGAAAGAAAUAACUUUGAUAAAGUUUUUCAUCAGUGAAAUUCAACGUGCGACAACCAUUUUCCUCUUCUUAGUAAUUCAGCUAGCAAUUCUCGUGCUGUGUUCGAAGAGACGUUUACAGUGAGGGUCGAACUUAGGACGAACUAUGGCACCUAUCAGCAGAUAUACGUUCAUAAUGCAACAAGGGAACGAAAAGCGUGUUCAAAACUUAAACUCAUUGUCCUUAUGUGCCUGCAGGUUGUUUUCGCAGUAUCCAAUGGCAACCGUGUAUGACCAAGCGCCGCUUGGACGCCUGGACGCCUCGCCCAGCCACGUCUUCCGGGACUGUGUGAUGACUGCCUCUGCACUCACAAGUGCCAGUUUCUGCCUCCGGCUUAUUUCUUUAUCAAAGGAUGUUGGUAACUGAACGACCAGCUCUGCUCCAGGAUUCCAAAUCGUUUUACGGUACCUUGUCCAUCACCAUCAAGAGAUCAACAUUUUUGCAGGCACUUACGUACGGCUGUAGUGUCCGGCGCGAUGCUGAAUGCGACCUGUUAUCUGUUGGAUCUACUCUGUGAGCCCAGACCCCAGUGCAAACCAGUCCGGGCCAUCGGCUGGCCGUGUCAGUCGCUCCGGAGGGCUGUUCGGGUCCCUGCAGCAUAGAUCUGUGCUGCGUGCGUCAUACCUUGGUGACGUCAGCCGACUGGCUCCGCCCACUCUCCGCCGGCACGCAGCGGCCGAGCGUCGCUGUCGCACCCCAUGGUGACCAACAACGGACUCUGCUGCUCGAUUGGCUGUUCUCCAAUGAAGACAACCACUGGAGAGCGCUCAACAUCCAGCUCAAAAUGGUCUCCUGUGUGGUCGAGACCGGUCUUUUCGUCUACAUGGCCGUGCAUCAUCUUCGGCGGGCUGUACGGCACUGAGCAGCUGUUCGGAGACUGGACAGAGCUGAGGAGCUGCACUGAGCACUGUGCUUGGGACGUUACUGAGCCGCACUAAGUAUCUGCACAAUCCGGACCGAGCCGCUCUGAAGGCGGGUCGCUACUUCAACCGUUAUUGGACUCUCUCCCAGCGCCGCAGCCGCCGGGCCCUCCACACAGUGGUCGGUUCGCACAGCCCUCACACAGUGUCUGGAGACGGCGAACGGCUCUGUGAGAAGGAGAACUGUAAAGGAGGCCACUUCAGUGUUUAAGUGGUGUUCUUGUGGUCUAAAAAUUACCAGCUUUAAAUGGCGUCGCUCCCAAAUAAAUACCAGUGUUCUGGGCAAAUUCAGCAGUUAAGCUAAUUUGUUCUCAUUCGAUGUCCGGAAUGUCGACUUCUUUGUUUUAAUGUCUCGAACCGAUCAUGACGUUGCUGUCCAACGCUCAUGAGAUAGAGAUGGACCCGAUCGGCUACGAGACCGAGUAUUUGUUCUCAUUCGAUGUCCGAAAUGUCGACUUCCUUGUUUAAAUGUCUCGAACCGAUCAUGACGUUGCUGUCCAACGCUCAUGAGAUAGAGAUGGACCUGAUCGGCUACGAGACCGAGAUGGACAACUUUGUCGUUUCGGGCGUCUGCAAUGAGCAAAUGUACGGCAUGUGCGAGCCGCUCUGGGAGCCCGAUCUCGAGCCGGACGAUCUGUUCGAGACCAUCGCUCAGGCGUUUAUCAACGGCUUCGACCGUAACGCCGGCACUGGCUGGGAUGCCAUCGUACACGUGAUUGAGAAGGAGAACACCGACGUCCGACAUGGUGGCCUCUCAAAUCAACGUUCUUGAGGAAUGGAGGCUGCUGUUGCGCGCUCCAAGGGCGGUGUUAGCCAUCAGACAGCGCAUUAGGCUCUCAGUGACUGGCAUGGGCUUGGGAAUUCAGGGGCCUUCAUAGGCGCUCAGAUAUAUACCUAUAUAUGUACGCUCUUAGACCGGUGUCGGGUCCUCCAAGGAAGUAGUUAAAGGAAAGCGCAGGGAUUUAGGAGUCGUUGUAGGGAUUUGAAAACCCUGCCAUCAUAUAGCAAUAUGGAGUCCUUAGAGACUGCCAUUCAGUCUCUGUGAUUAGAGUGUGACCUAGCUUGAUCUGAAAAUGGGUAUCAAAAUGCUGGACUUGAAUCAAAGGUCAGGUUAUGGGGAUCCUGUACGAGUUGUGACUUGUAGAUCUCCUAUCUGUAGCAACCUGCAUUCAGAGCCCUGUGCAGAUUAUUGCAGAUUACCUCAGAACGGUGUGAGGCUGCUUAGACUAGUAUGGUGCUCGUGUAGGGAUCAUCUAUGCGAUUUGUCAUUUCAUGUUUUCAUUUAUAUUGUCACCGCGUUAUUAAUCAAUCAAUUGCUGUCAAUCGAUUGUUAUCAACCUCUUGUCAAUUGUGCGUCAAGUUUGUUUGUUAUUUGUAAACCGGCCUGCCGCUGACGUCAGCCUUCAUGGGCCCUGUUAUACCGCCCGACGCUGCGCGCGCUGCAGCGCGCUGGGAGCUGAGGCAUACCCCUGACGUCACUCGAAUGACGUUACGUGCGAUCCGUCACCUUAUGGUAAAUCGCGUUUUGAACAGAGACCUUCAAGAACCUAGUACCAAUUGAACAGAAGUUUGAGUGCGAAUACUGCUAGCGUGUGGAUGGUUCUGGCGCCGCGGUGCUAGCGUUUUGCGAUGACGUCAUAGCGUAGCGUCAGAGGGAAGUUUGUUGAUAUUGCCAUGGAAACCCAAUGCGCCGACGCGCGCAGCGCACUGCACAAGGCCCUAUAUACCCAUGUCGCCCCCACUGCAGCGCUCCGCCGUGAAACAGGGCCCUAGUAACCGCUAUGCCAUACGCUAUAGAACCUGUCGUGCAAAGGUCACGGCGGCACCCCUGAGGCGGCCGCUGCCCGUAUCAUUAGGAACCCAUUGUCGUGACGUCAUGACUGUGAACAAAGGUCGCCGUAGGGGCUCUCCCGGUAGCCGGACGGUGACGCGUACGUUAAGCUUGUUUCUCGCCGCGCCUGCGGGCAUAUUGCUAGUACCUACUAGGGACGGCCAGCAUAUGACCGCGGCUUUCGGCGACAUUGUCAAUUCGUUUUCGACUCUGCUGUUCGUUGUACCUACUCGACGCAAGUCAAAUAUACAUAGAAAACGGC